CAGCCAAGGUGGAUUUGCACGUCGACCUCACCCACAUGCUCUGCGAGGCGCUCCUGCUGCCGCCCCUGAGCAGCUCCAGCGCAACCAUCUCGCAAAUCGUCGGAAGGAUCUCCCUCAAACACCCAAGCCUAUUUGGGAGGAGCGAGAAGUUGGACGUGAUUCUGGAUAAGGGUGUCAAUGACUCUAAUGUUGUUGUUGCCUUUAGACGCCCAAGGCCCGAAUGGUUAUCGCAGCA